UACGGGGGGGGCAAGCGUUGUUCGGAAUUACUGGGCGUAAAGGGCCAGUAGGCGGCCAACUAAGUCGGAUGUGAAAUCCCCAGGCUCAACUUGGGAACUGCAUCCGAUACUGGAUGGCUUGAAUUCGGGAGAGGGAUGCAGAAUUCCAGGUGUAGCGGUGAAAUGCGUAGAUAUCUGGAGGAACACCGGUGGCGAAGGCGGCAUCCUGGACCAACACUGACGCUGAUGAGCGAAAGCCAGGGGAGCAAACGGG
rnacentral:rRNA from 1 species